rnacentral:rRNA from 1 species
UUAAGUGAAUAAGGGCGCACGGUGGAUGCCUUGGCACUAGGAGCCGAUGAAGGACGGGACUAACACCGAUAUGCCUCGGGGAGUUGUAAGUAAACUUUGAUCCGGGGAUUUCCGAAUGGGGGAACCCACUGUUCGUAAUGGGACAGGACAUCUAUCUGAAUACAUAGGGUAGAUGAGGCAGACCCGGGGAACUGAAACAUCUCAGUACCUGGAGGAAGAGAAAGAAAAAUCGAUUUCCUGAGUAGCGGCGAGCGAAACGGAAAGAGCCCAAACCAAGAAGCUUGCUUCUUGGGGUUGUAGGACACUCCAUUGGAGUUACAAAGAAAUUCUUUAAACGAAUCGACUUGGAAAGGUCAGCCGAAGAAGGUAACAGCCCUGUAGUUGAAAAGGAAUUUCCUCCGGAGUGUAUCCUGAGUACGGCGGAACACGUGGAAUUCCGUCGGAAUCCGGGAGGACCAUCUCCCAAGGCUAAAUACUACCUAGUGACCGAUAGUGAACCAGUACCGUGAGGGAAAGGUGAAAAGCACCCCGGAAGGGGAGUGAAAUAGAACCUGAAACCGUGUGCCUACAAGUAGUCGGAGCCCGUUAAUGGGUGACGGCGUACCUUUUGUAGAAUGGACCGGCGAGUUACGAUUGUAUGCAAGGUUAAGUGGAAGACACGGAGCCGUAGCGAAAGCGAGUCUGAAUAGGGCGAAUGAGUAUGCGGUCGUAGACCCGAAACCGUGUGAUCUACCCAUGUCCAGGGUGAAGGUCAGGUAACACUGACUGGAGGCCCGAACCCACGUAUGUUGAAAAAUGCGGGGAUGAGGUGUGGGUAGCGGUGAAAUUCCAAUCGAACACGGAGAUAGCUGGUUCUCUCCGAAAUAGCUUUAGGGCUAGCCUCAAGAUCGUGAGUACUGGAGGUAGAGCACUGAUUGGACUAGGGGCCCUACCGGGUUACCGAAUUCAGUCAAACUCCGAAUGCCAGUUACUUCAACUUGGGAGUCAGACUAUGGGUGAUAAGUUCAUAGUCGAAAGGGAAACAGCCCAGACCGCCAGCUAAGGUCCCAAAGUAUACGUUAAGUGGAAAAGGAUGUGGCGUUGCACAGACAACCAGGAUGUUGGCUUAGAAGCAGCCAUCAUUGAAAGAGUGCGUAAUAGCUCACUGGUCGAGUGACGCUGCGCCGAAAAUGUACCGGGGCUAAACGUAUCACCGAAGCUGCGGAUUGUUCUUACGAACAAUGGUAGGAGAGCGUUCAAAGUGCAGAGAAGUCAGACCGUGAGGACUGGUGGAGCGCUUUGAAGUGAGAAUGCCGGUAUGAGUAGCGAAAAAAAGAGUGAGAAUCUCUUUCACCGAAUGCCUAAGGUUUCCUGAGGAAGGCUCGUCCUCUCAGGGUUAGUCGGGACCUAAGCCGAGGCCGACAGGCGUAGGCGAUGGACAACAGGUUGAUAUUCCUGUACCACCUCAUGAUUGUUUGAACAAUGGGGGGACGCAGGAGGAUAAGGAGUGCGCACUGAUGGAUGUGCGUCCAAGCAUGCGAGGAAGUCAGAUAGGCAAAUCCGUCUGACAUAUUUCUGAGCUGUGAUGGGGAGGGAAAUAUAGUACCGAAGUUCCUGAUUUCACACUGCCAAGAAAAGCCUCUAGUUAGAUCAUAGGUGCCCGUACCGCAAACCGACACAGGUAGGCGAGGAGAGAAUCCUAAGGUGAGCGGGAGAACUCUCGUUAAGGAACUCGGCAAAAUGACCCCGUAACUUCGGGAGAAGGGGUGCUCACUUGUGAGUGAGCCGCAGUGAAUAGGCCCAAGCGACUGUUUAGCAAAAACACAGGUCUCUGCGAAGCCGAAAGGCGAAGUAUAGGGGCUGACACCUGCCCGGUGCUGGAAGGUUAAGGGGAAGAGUUAGCUCUUCGGAGCGAAGCUUUGAACCGAAGCCCCAGUAAACGGCGGCCGUAACUAUAACGGUCCUAAGGUAGCGAAAUUCCUUGUCGGGUAAGUUCCGACCCGCACGAAAGGUGCAACGACUUGGGCACUGUCUCAACGAGAGACCCGGUGAAAUUAUACUAUGCGUGAAGAUGCGCAUUACCCGCGACAGGACGGAAAGACCCCGUGGAGCUUUACUGUAGCCUGAUAUGGAAUGUUUGUGCAGUUUGUACAGGAUAGGUGGGAGCCUUUGAAGCGUGAGCGCCAGCUUACGUGGAGGCACCCGUGGGAUACCACCCUAACUGUAUGACCAUUCUAACCCAGGACCGUAAUCCGGUUCGGAGACAGUGUCAGGCGGGCAGUUUGACUGGGGCGGUCGCCUCCUAAAAGGUAACGGAGGCGCCCAAAGGUUCCCUCAGAAUGGUUGGAAAUCAUUCGUAGAGUGUAAAGGCAGAAGGGAGCUUGACUGCGAGACCUACAAGUCGAGCAGGGACGAAAGUCGGGCUUAGUGAUCCGGUGGUUCCGCAUGGAAGGGCCAUCGCUCAACGGAUAAAAGCUACCCCGGGGAUAACAGGCUUAUCUCCCCCAAGAGUUCACAUCGACGGGAGGUUUGGCACCUCGAUGUCGGCUCAUCGCAUCCUGGGGCUGUAGUCGGUCCCAAGGGUUGGGCUGUUCGCCCAUUAAAGCGGUACGCGAGCUGGGUUCAGAACGUCGUGAGACAGUUCGGUCCCUAUCCGUCGUGGGCGUUGGAAGUUUGAGAGGAGCUGUCCUUAGUACGAGAGGACCGGGAUGGACACACCGCUGGUGUACCAGUUGUUCCGCCAGGAGCAUAGCUGGGUAGCUACGUGUGGAAAGGAUAAGUGCUGAAAGCAUCUAAGCAUGAAGCCCCCCUCAAGAUGAAACUUCCCAUCACUUCAAGUGAGUAAAAUCCCUCAGAGACGAUGAGGUUGAUAGGUCCGAGGUGGAAGCGUGGCGACACGUGCAGCUGACGGAUACUAAUCGAUUGAGGACUUAUCUAA